AAGAUAAACAAACCACUCGCAUAUAUAUCUGUAUUUGAGCAGAACACACAUGUACAUCUAUAAUUAGACUAUUAAUCAUGAUUUUUUUAUUAUUUUUUUUUAAGAUAUAAAUCCUUGGAUUACAUCUGACAGAAUAUUCUGUUUGGCUUCCAUGAAGAAAACCAGGUAUAGUGUGCAUGUGUUUGCUAGAGAGGAAAAAAGUAUGCUAUGCAUACUGUGAAUGUCCUUUUGGGUAAGAGAUAAGUUUUGAUCUGGAUCAACAAACCUAUUUAUAAUAUAUUUUGUUCUAAAACUCUACUGGUAUUUACAGGUACAUUUAACUUUUAAAACUCCUUGGAUUCAAUAUAGUCUAGCACAUUCCUGCAGCCAUGCACCAAGCUGAGUAAUGAAUGGGAGGUGGAGUUCAGGGAGAGGAAAAUAAUCAACAAUAUGUCAUCCUCAGAUCCUAAUAAAAAAUCUUGAUCUGGCUAGCUCCAUGCAGCAUUGAAAGCUGCUAAAAGAGUUGUUUCCCAAAACUGAUGUGGAAUAUCACUGACAAAGCUCCUGACAUCAUGGAAAGUGAGGUGAAAGUUGGUGUGACUGAGAA